rnacentral:hammerhead_ribozyme from 1 species
AUCCAGUUGACGAGUUCAAAAUAGGACGAAACGCGCGUUCUGGAU